rnacentral:lncRNA from 1 species
AUGUAUCGUUUUUACCCUAGAACUUGUUACUAUGUGACUUACAUACAUGUGUUAAUAAAUUGCACUACAAUCACCAUAAUCACACUCAGGCUUAAACACAAUUAUUAGCAUACAAAAGCACAUAUCCAUUUUAUCAUCUUCAUGUAGGCUCAUGGCACAGAAUUUAACAUGCUGCUCAAAAAUGUUCAGUGGAUAGAGUUCCCGUCAUGGUGCAGCGGAAAAUAUCUGACCAGGAACCAUGAGGUUGCAGGUUUGAUCCCUGGUCUUGCUCAGUGGGUAUAGGAUCUGGCAUUGCUGUGAGCUGUGGUGUAGUUUGCAGAUGCAGUUCAGAUCCUGUGUUGCUGUGGCUGUGGUGAAGGCCAGCAUCUAUAGCUCCUGUUCAACCCCUAGCCUGGGAACCUCCACACAAAAAAAAGUUCAGUGGCUGACAUUGCCACUGAGUAAUGUACAAAUUGCUUUGUUGGUCCCCCUGACAGACCUCAAAUGGUUUUCCUUCUUUUAUUUCUAGUAUUAUUCACAAUUACUUUCUUUCAAAUACCUCCACAACAACUUAAAGAGACUACUUGGUGGGCUCUAAAUAUGUCCUAUGCUUUUCUUUCUCUGUGAAUUUUUUUCACAUGGGAUUAAAUUCCUAAACAUAGAGCUAAAAUAUAUUUUAGGUACAAAUUCCAAAAAAAAAAAAAAGUAGGGCAGCUGAAUCAUUUUCUUUUCUCUUAAUGUAUCUAAUAAUUUGGUUCUAUGUUAAUUAAAUGCAUAUUAUAAUUUUUUGCAUUAAAAUUCAUGCUGUGUAACAAAUUACCACAAACUUUCUAGCAUAAAACAACACAAAUUUGUUUUCUCAUAGUUUCUAGUAGGUCAGAGCCUAGUACACCAUGAAUGAAUUCUCUGUCCAGAGUCUGAAAUCAAGGUGUUAGUUGGGGCUAUAGCUCCCAUCUGAGGCUCUGGGCCCUCCUCCAAGCUCACUGUGUUUGGGCAGAAUUCACUUCCUUGUGGUUGUAGGACUGAGGUCCCUAUUUUCCCAUUGACACUUUCUUUUCCUAGAUAUCUCCUGCAUAUAUUUUUUUUCUUUUGCCGUGUAGCUGCCAUAGCCCAUCCCAACAUGGAUGUUUGCUUUCCUCCAGGUCAGGUAAAGAUGUCUCUGUCUUUCCCUAAUGCAACCAUGUAGAGAAAACUAUGCUUUUAAAGACCUUGUGUGAUUAAAUUAGGCCCAUAUGGAUAAUCUCCCUAUAGUAAAAUCACCUGAUUUGGGACCUUAAUUACCUCUAUAAAAUCAAUUUAUAGCAAUACCUACUUAGCUUUUAAUUGAAGAACUAGGAGAAGGUGUGUAAACACCAGGAGCUGAGACUCUUUGGGAACCACUUGGAAUUUGUCUACCACACAUACCUACUUCUUUUUUAAGUACUAUUUGAUAUAUUUCAUUAUUAUAAGCCAAUAGUCCUUGAAAGGCAGUCAAGUCUAUUGACUAUUUGCUAGCAAAAGGACAGCAACAAAAAUUGUUGACUUUGGUUCCAUAUUGUCCCAAUUUCAAAUAUAAAUACUCAUACUAAAUCCUGUUAUUCAAGUCAAAUGUGGACAAAUAUGCUCCUUCUAACUUUUUGGGUAAGACCAUUACUAUGUGAUAUCAUUCAAAAGCAAUUUUCUUUGGGAGCCAUACAAGGAUCCUUAAUGACUGAAAUGGCCAACUGACAACACCUGCUUUUAAAUUUCUAGCCCAGCUUCUCUCUUUCAUCCUGCAUGGUACAGAACUCUGGAUCAGAAUUAAAAAUUCAAGUGGUUUCAUCUCUUUGUGGACAAUUUUGGACUCACAGGUAUAGCCUUCUAUGCAGACUUUGGACAGCCCUUUGCGUCUCAUUGAUAUGUAUGUUAGAUUUUGUUAAUGAAUAGCAAACACAAUUAUAUACCCUUAUCCUUAGUCAAACUUCUCCAGAAUAACAUCAGUUCAGAGCUUGUCAGAGAAACCAAUCCCAAAAUAAUUGCCCUGUGAAUUCCUGGAAUUCAGGGACCAGAUAUAAAACAUUUAAAUCUUCAAUGUCUUAGCCAACCCUAAUAGUAAAUAAAUGUUCAAUUGAAAUAUUAUAUUUGAGUAAGGCUUUCUAAGACUAUGCUUAUGUCCUUAAAGAAAUAGCUUUAUUUGGGAGUUCCCGUCAUUGCUCAGCGGAAACAAAUCUGACUAGGAACCAUGAGGUUGCAGGUUCAAUCCCUGGCAUCAUUCAGUGGGUUAAGGAUCUGGCAUUGCUGUGGCUGUGGCUCCAGCAGCUGUAGCUCCAAUUAGACCCCCUACCCUGGGAAACUCCAUAUGCCAUCGGUGCAGCCCUGAAAAGACAAAAGAAAAAAAAAUGAAAUGGCUUUAUUGGAAUUCCUGCUGUGAUGCAGUGGGUUAAGAUCCAAGCACAGCAGCUCAAGUCACUGUGGAGACACAGGUUCUAUCCCUAGCCCAGUGCAGUUGGUUAAAGGAUCCAGCAUUGCCACAGCUGUCUUGGCAUGUUGUAGUUGUGGCUCAGAUUCUGUCCCUGGCCCAGGGACUUCCAUAUGCCGCAAGUGUGGCCAUAAAAAAAUAAAUUAAAAAAAAAAAAAAAGAGUAAGUGCCUUGAAGUGAGAAUGAGUCCCAUGUUCCGGUCAUGGCUUAGCUGAAAUGAAUCGACUAGUAUCUACAAGGAUGCAGGUUCGAUCCCUGGCCUAGCUCAGUGGGUAAAGGAUCUGGGUAUUGCCAUGAACUGGGGUGUAGGUCACAGAUGUGGCUUGUAUCUGGCAUUACCAUGGCUGUGGUGUAGGGCAGAUGUUACAGCUCUGAUUUGACCCCUAGCCUAGGAACCUCUAUAUGCCACAGG